CUAACUACUGAUGAGUAUUUCUUCUCGUCUGCUUUCUGAAAGGUGAGCACGGUCCCAUUCUUGUACUUGACAAGCUCUUUAGAGGAAGAGCAGCAGCCAUGGGCUGCCGGAAGAAACUAGAAAUAGAAGAUCUAUUGUCUGAGUAGACAAGUGAUUCUGGGAAGCAAAGCCCCACUCUAUCAGCAUAUAAGACAGUAGGUUAAAGAAGGAAGAAAAGCUAUUAACAAGAAGGCAGCACUGGCAUGAAAACAAAUAGAUAAAAAUAGGCUCAGAAAAAAAUGUGGGCUGGAGAUCAGAAACAAGUUUCCUCGGUGUCAGAGUGAGGCUAUGGAAUAACCUGCCAAGAAAACUCCUAGCGACUUCUGAGAUGGACUGUGAUAAAUUAAGAAGAGGGACUUCAUGACUCAGUGCUUGUCAUAGCAAGGGAACAUGACAAUGACUUGGAGAUCCCUCCUAGCCCCGCAUUCCUGUUGAUAUGAUAACAGAGGAAUCUGUGUAAGGCGCAGUAAGUGCUGAAUCACUGAGUGCUUUAUAUAGCUGCCUGGCAGAACAAAGUCCCUUGCUCUCAUCCUGUCUGCAAGAAGCUCUAGGACAAAAAAAAAAAAGAGAAAAACAAAUGCUUACGUAAAUGGUUGCACUCUGACAGCAAAAACCAUAAAGCUGCAGGUGCCUGAGAUAGAGGAAAACCAACUGAGCUCAGCUGCAGGCUCCUGCACAGUGGAGAGAGCUAGUGGUGUGGACAUGAAAGCAAGAGACCUCGCUGGGAGAGGCGCGUGCCUGGAGAUUGGAGAAAGGUCCUUCAUGGGUCACCUGUGGAAGAUUUCCUGUUGCACUGACCAUAGCAGGGCACAAGCAUGCUGGCUGAGACAGCCUCGUUAUCUCCUCCUAUGAGCCUUGUAUAGUUUGGAGACAGCAGCUGGAGUCAUGGCUCGUGACUUGGAGACAUAGCUCAGGAAGCUAGAAACGUUCAGAGGACAUCACUGCUUGUGUGGGACAUCGAUGCUACAGGCCUCAAUGUGUGAGAUGGCUCUCAUUGAGCUCUCUUCUGUAAACACUGGCAGCAAAAUCAGGGCACUGCGGUCCGGCUGCCAGAGCUCUCAGUCUGCCUUUUCACCAUGACAGAAUGCACAUCCCUGUUCCUACAGUUGCUCAGAAACCUUGGGUUCUGGGCAAGGUCCUAAUUAAGGUGCUUUGAAUCAGCUAACAAGGAGACAGGCUCCACCAAAGGCUGUGUACAAGGUGCUGUGUGGGAACCAAAUACUAAGUACUAAAUACCAAAUACUAAAGAUAAGCAGUAGGAAGGCAUGCAGUAUGCAAUGCCCUAUGUGACAAUCCCAUAACACCAAGG
ensembl:lncRNA